rnacentral:rRNA from 1 species
GACGAACGCUGGCGGCGUGCUUAACACAUGCAAGUCGAACGGAAAGGCCCCUUUGGGGGUACUCGAGUGGCGAACGGGUGAGUAACACGUGAGUAACCUGCCCUUGACUUCGGGAUAACUUCAGGAAACUGGGGCUAAUACCGGAUAGGAAUCCUUGCUGCAUGGUGGGGGUUGGAAAGAUUCGGCGGUUUUGGAUGGACUCGCGGCUUAUCAGCUUGUUGGUGGGGUAGUGGCUUACCAAGGCUUUGACGGGUAGCCGGCCUGAGAGGGCGACCGGCCACAUUGGGACUGAGAUACGGCCCAGACUCCUACGGGAGGCAGCAGUGGGGAAUAUUGCACAAUGGGCGGAAGCCUGAUGCAGCAACGCCGCGUGCGGGAUGACGGCCUUCGGGUUGUAAACCGCUUUCAGCAGGGGCGAAGCUUGUGGUGACGGUACCUGCAGAAGAAGCACCGGCUAACUACGUG